GGGUGUUCUUUCUUUUAUCUUUGAUAUUGUACAGAUAAAAGGGUUGUUGGGAUUCUUACAGUAACGGAAAUCAUUGGCUGAAUGUUGAGAGAGGCAACCACCCUAUCAAUGAAAAAUCCUCAAGUCUCUGUAGCCUCAUUCAUUCCCUUCUGAACUUUUUGCUUUGUUUCUCAACUCAAACAUUUUCCUUCAUACGGAACACACCCUAAAUAUAACAAAAAAAAGCCAAGCUGAAUAGAGAAAAAUCGAGGCUCAGAUUUGUGUUAAGCUCCGGAAACAAGAGAGUCCAACAACGCCAUGGCUGCAAAAACCACCAGAAAAUCUGGGAGCAUGCCCCGCCAAGAUACAAUUUGGAUAACCUCAAAUGCCCAAUUAAUCAGAGCUCAGAAAGGAAUAAACAUCGGCAAAAAUCAUCAUUGCCUUUUUUAAGCCAUCCGAUUAUACUCAGCACCAUCGCUUCCACCAGCAACAAUCAAUGCUCCGGCAGAAGCAUUAGAGAAAAGAGAAUGCACUGUAUGGUCACAGCAAGGAAGUAUAGGUUAGAUUGAUAAGGUAUAUAUAUGUGUGUGUGUGUGUGUGUGUGUGUGUGUGUGUGUGUGUGUGUGUGUGUCUAAUUAGGUAGUUUUUCCUAAAAUUUAUAAAAGGGUUGUUGGGGUUCUUACAUCAAGGGAGAAAUAAUUGGCUGAUGCAGAGAGCGGCAACCACCCUUACAAUGAAAAAUCCUCAACUCUCUGUAGCCUCAUUCUUUCCCUACUGAGAUUUUUGACAUUUGUUUCUCAACUCUUGAAAACAUUUUCUUUCAUAUCAAACACACCCUUGAUAUUAAACAAAAAAAAAAAAACCCAAAGCUGAAUAGAGAAAAAUUGAGACUCAGAUCUGUGUUAAGCUUGGGCAAAAGGAGAGUCCAACCACGCCAUGGCUGCAAAAACCACAAGAAAAACUGGUGGCCCACCAAGAUACGAGUCUGAUAACCUCAAAUGCCCGAUUAAUCAGCUCAGCUUGGGCAAAAGGAGAGUCCAACCAUGCCAUGGCUGCAAAAACCACCAGAAAAGUUGGUGGCAUGCCCCGCCAAGAUACGGGUCUGAUAAUCUCAAAUGCCCGACUAAUCAGCUCAUAAGGGAACAAAAAUUGGCAAAAAUCAUCAUCACCUCUUUCAAGCCGUCCGAUUAUACUCACCAACAUCGCUUCCACCGGCAACAUUCAAUGCUCCGGCGGAAGCAUUAAAAAGGAGUUGAAAAAAAGAGUUGAAGGGCAUAGAAACCCUUAAAACAAUAUGUAACAACAAUCCAAACAAGCUGUUAUUUAUGUACUCCCUCCGUUUAAAACAGAUAAAAGGGUUGUUGGGAUCCUUACAGUAAUGGAGAUAUCAUUGGCUGAAUGUUGAGAGAGGCAACCACCCUUUCAAUGAAAAAUCUUCAACUCUCUGUGGCCUCACUCUCCCUUCUGAGCUUUUUGCUUUUUGUUUCUCACCUCUCGAAAACAUUUUCCUUCAUACCAAACACACCCUUAACAUUAAGCAAAAAAGAGCCCAAGCGGAAUAGAGAAAAAUUGAGACUCAGAUCUGUGUUAAGCUUGGGCAACAAGAGAGUCCAACCACGCCAUGGCUGCAAAAACCACCAGAAAAUCUGGGAGCAUACCCCGCCAAGAUACGGGUCAGAUAACAUCAAAAUGCCCAAUUAAUCAGCACAGAAGGGAAUAAAAAUUGGCAAAAAUCAUCAUCGCCUCUUUCAAGCCGUCCGAUUAUACUCAGCACCAUUGCUUCCACCAGCUCCACCGGCAACAAUCAAUGCUCCGGCAGAAGCAUUAAAAAAAAGAAAAAAAAAAGUUCAAAGGCAUAGAAACCCAUUUCAAACAAAAGCUGUUAAUUAUAUACUUCCUCUGUUUAAAAUCGAUAAAAAGGCUGUUGGGAUUGUUACAGUAAUGGGGAAAUCACUGGCUGAAAGCAGAGAGAGGCAGCCACCCUUCCAAUGAAAAAUCCUCAAACUCACUGUUAGCCUCAUUCUUUUCCUUCUAAGCUUUUGUUUAUAGUACCCUGAAGCUGUUAACAAUACUCCCUCAGUUAAAAUUAACAAAGAGACCGCUAAAUUGAGGCUCAGAUCUGUGUUAAGAUCGAGCAAAAAGAGAGUCAACCACGCCAUGGCUGCAUAAACCAGCAUGCCCCACCAAGAUACGGGUUGGAUAACCUUAAAUGCUCAAUUAAUCAGCUUAGAAGGGAAUAAAAUUGACAAAGAUCAUCAUCGCCUCUUUCAAACCAUCCGAUUAUACUCACCACCAUAGCUUCCACCGGCAACAUUCAAUGCUCCGGCAGAAGCAUUAAAAAGGAGUUGAAAAGAAGAGCUGAAGGGCAUAAAAACCUCUGAAACAAUAUGUAACAACAAUCCAAACAAGCUGUUAUUUAUAUACUCCCUCCGUUUAAAAUUGAUAAAAGGGUUGUUGGGAUCCUUACAGUAAUGGAGAAAUCAUUGGCUGAAUGCUGAGAGAGGCAACCACCCUUUCAAUGAAAAAUCCUCAACUCUUUGUAGCCUCAUUCAUUCCCUUCUGAGCUUUUUGUUUUUUGUAUCUCAACUCUCGAUAACAUUUUUCCUUCAUACCAAACAUACCCUAAAUAUAACAAAAAAAGCCAAGCUGAACAGAGAAAAAUUUGAGGCUCAGAUUUGUGUUAAGCUCAGGCAAUAAGAGAUUCCAACCACGCCAUGGCUGCAUAAGCCACCAGAAAAUCUGGGAGCAUGCCCCGCCAAUAUACGGGUUGGAUAACCUCAAAUGCCCGAUUAAUCAGCUCAGAAGGGAAUAAACAUUGGCAAAAAUCAUCAUUGCCUCUUUCAAGCUGUCCAAUUAUUCUCAGCUCCAGUGGCAACAAUCAAUGAUCCGGCGGAAGCAUUAAAAAGGAGUUGAAAAAAAGAGUUGGAAGGGCAUAUAGAAACCCAUUUCAAACAAAAGUUGAUAAUCAUAUACUUUCUCUGUUUAAAAUUGAUAAGAGGGUUGUUGGGAUUCUUACAAUAAUGGAGAAAUCAUUGACUGACUGCAGAGAGAGGCAACCACCCUUUCAACGAAAAUCCUCAAACUCCCUGUUAGCCUCAUUCUUAUAGUACCCUGAAGCUGGUAAUACUACUCCCUCAGUUUUAAAUUGACGAAGAGACCAGUGCAUUGAGGCUCAGAUCUGUGUUAAACUAGAGUAUAAAGAGAGUCCAACCACGCCAUGGCUGCAAAAACCAGCAUGCUCCGCCAAGAUACGGGUCGGAUAACCUCCAAUGCUCAAUUAAUCAGCUCAGAAGGGAAUAAAGUUACAAGAAUCAUCAUCGCCUCUUCCAAGCCAUCCGAAGCAAUAAAAGCAACUGUUAGCAAAAUUAUAGGAAAUAUAAUUGAAGAAGAAGAUGGCUUUAAGGCAUGAAGAAUCGCUUUCCUUAAAGAGAUAUUGCCCGUAUACAUAUUGGGAAAAAUACAAGCAAUUGCCUUCAAGAUACAACAAAGUCGUUGUAUAUACAUGCAUAUUUUUCUUUUUGGGUUACUUCCAGAGAGUCCUUAUAUUUAUAAAACUUAAGAGAUCGACUUUUCAUAAUAGUCAUGUUCUUUCAUGUGUUCAAUUUAAGACCUCUAUAUAUUACAAAUUAUCCAACAACAACAUACCCAGUAUAGUCCCACAUGGUGGGGUUUGAGAGAGUAGAGUAUAUGCAUAUCUUAGCCCUACUUUAGAGGUAGAGAGGUGGUUUCCACUAGACUCUCGGCUUAAGAAAAACAGUCCAAAGCAGUCCAGAAAGAGCAACAAAACAUAUUGAACAGUAACUACAAAAAUAUAUGAUAGUCGAAGUACAAGAAACUUCCAAUAGUAACAAAAUGAAAACACAAGAAACUAUAUGAGUAAUAUUAUGACCACUAGUAUGGGAAGAUCGCAAGACAAUGCACUACUAGUCUACUACCUACGAACCUCCUUCCCUAAUCCAUGUCCUCCACAAUAUGUAACAACAUUCCAAACGAGAUGAUACGUUUGUCCAUGAAAUUUUUUCAAUUAUUUCUGGAGUUGAACUCCGAAAAACAAGUUUGGCCAUAAAAUUUGGAAUUCAACCAUAGGAUUUGAAAAACAAAAAAAAGAUAUUUUUACUUUUUUCACUCCAAAUUACUCACAAAAAGUAAAAAACGACUCCAAUUUGUAUUCAUAGAAAAAUACAACUCUAAUUUUCAAAUAUAAUUUUUCAUUUUGAAAACAAACACUACAUUAUUUUCAAAUUUCACAAUGAAAUAUGACCAAACACAAACUAACAUACUUCCUCCAUUUUAAAUUGAUAAAAGGGUUGCUAGGUUUCUUACAGUAUGGAGAAUGCAUUGGCUGAAUGCAGAGAGAGUCAACCACCCUUUCAACAAAAAAAAUCCUCAAAAGACCUGUUAGCCUCAUUUUUUAUUUAUGAACUUUUGCUUAUAGUACCCCUGAAGCUGUUAAUAAUACUCCCUCAAUUGAAAUGGACGAAGAGACCAGUAAAUUGAGGCUCAGAUCUGUGUCAAGCUCGAGCAAAAAGAAGGUCCAACCACGCCAUGGCUGCAAAAAACAGUAUGCCCCGCCAAGAUACAGAUCGGAUAACCUCAAAUGCUCAAUUAAUCAGCUCAAAAGGGAAUAAAAAGUGACAAAAAUCAUCAUCGCCUCUAUAAAGACACCAAUUAUACUCACCCCCACCAGCAACACUGAAUGCUCAGGCAGAAGUAUAAAGAAAAAAUAAAGAGAAAAAGAGUUGAAAGGUCAUAGAAACCCAUUUCAAACAAAGCUGAUAAUUAUAUAUUCCCUCUGUUCAAAAUUGAUAAAAGGGUUGUUGGAAUUCUUACAUUAAUGGAGAAAUCAUCGGCUGAUGUAGAGAGUGGCAACCACCAUUCCAAUGAGAAAUCCUUAAACUCUCUUUAAGCCUCAUUCUUUCCCUUUUGAGCUUUUUGCUUUGUCCAUUUCCCUUAGGUUUUGCUUAUAUAGUCCCCUCAACACUUGAACUAUAAUACUCCCAUCUUUUUACCAGUUCAUUAAUUUUUCUUGUUGAAAGUAUUAAAAAAACAAUUUCUUUAGAACAAAGAUUUACAUUUACAAUUUUUAGAUUUUUUUAAAAUAUAGUUUCCAAAUUUUCUUGGUCGAGAUAGUUUGAAUAUGUAAAAAUGAGAUGUACUAGUGUUCCAAUGCAAAGGUACAAGGAUAUUGUGGAUAGGUGAUAAGACAUGAUGCACUAACUUCACAAAGAUAUGACCUUGGAUAUAGUAGUUAUGAACUGUAUCACUUUAUUCUUUCAUAUGAGGUGGAAAUCAAAAUUACACCGACAAAAGAUAAUCCAUCAACUGAGCUACCAAAAUUUUCCAUGAAGUUUCUUGUUGUUCCAUCCCUUUCAGUAUUAUUUAAUAUUUCUUGCACAUCAAUCAUUGUAUAAUUUUGAUAGUGAUUGUUCCUUUUUUAGUUUGUCAUAUUACUCCCUCCGUCCCUAUUUACUUGUCCAUAUUUCCUUUUUUGGUUGUCCCUAUUUAGUUGUCCAUUUUGACAAAUCAAGAAAGGACAACAAAUUUUUUCCUAUUAUACCCUUAUUUACACUUCUUGAAAAUUGUAAAAGUGUAUGUUGUUUCCCUCCAAUUUAUUUCACUUGAAUUCAAAUAAGUGGUUGUAAAUUUUGAAAGUGAAAAGUUGUCAUAAGGGUAAAAUUGUAACUUCACUGUGCUAAUCAUUGUUGCCUUAAUCUGUGUGCCAUUUCUAAAGUGGACAACUAAAAAGGGACGGAGGGAGUAUCUUUUAACAUUUUACCUUAAUUUCUUCACUUACAUUCUCUUUUUUUCGAAUUAUAUCAAGAACUUCUCUAGCUCCAGGUAUUACCCUUGCAUACACAAUUACUUUUCUACCAAUUUUUCCAACUGAACAUAUGGUCUCACUUGGCUCUAGAAGUUGUGAACAUUAUCAGCAAUAUUCAGAAAAACAGUAGACAAAUUUCACUUUUGUUUUUUAAUAACCAUAAAAUCCCCAUAAAUGGAUCACGGUUUGAAACUUUACGUUGCACCAGUCAUCUCUGUCUUUCUCUGCUUAAAUACCAAGCUUAACAAUUCAAAUCUGUGGCAUGCAUCUAACACACCAACUGUUGCACUCUUAUCCCUAAACCAAAGGGAUAAUUCAAACUCACGACAUGCACCUCUAUAACACAGCAAUUGUUGCACUCUCACCGCUGGACCAAAGCCCCUAAGCCAUGGGAUGUAUUCAUAAAAAUAGUAGAGGUUUUUGAUUGAACACAUUUGAAACAACAACAAAGAGGAACUUUUGAAAUAUAUAAUCGUCCAAUCAAGAGUGAUAGACAAUGUAGUCAAGCAAGAAUCAGCUGGUUAGAACCAUAUAUUAGCUCAUCAACUAGAAUCGUUCCAAUCUUGUCCAAGUAUGAUAUCGGCAACAGGGAAAAAGAGGGGAUCAACAAAUACAGAACCCCUCGGCAAAGUUGCCUUGUUUUGCAAUUCUUUUUUGCAUAUAACAAACAAUUAUCUAUUUUCAUACUUCAAUAAUGUUAGACCCUUUCAAUUAGAAUACAUAGCAGCAGCAAGAAGCUGAUUAAGUACAUAAAAUAGACCUAGUAUAACAAUAUUUUUAGACAAGUAGUAGUGAUAACAGAGCUAAAUAGAGGCCUCAUCUAUCAGAGUAACUAUGACAAAAAGCAUCAUUUGGAUGUUGAUCCAUGGCUUACUUGAAUUACUCAUCAUUUAGGAUGAAUUGCUUCAUGCACCAAGUAAACAAAUUGAUUGAAGGAGAUCAAUAUGAAUUAUCAAGUAUGGCUUCUUGCAUGAAUUAUCAAGUAUGGCUUCUUCAAUCAAUUAUCAAGUAAACAAAUUGAUUGAAGGAGAUCAAUAAGAAGUAUGGCUUCUUGUAAAGAUCAUUAUCAAUGGAAGAGAACCCCUAAAAGAUAAUACAUAGCAAAAACAAGAAACUGACAAAAUGAAGCAUAAAAAUCACCUAGUGAAACUUCUUUAGAUAAGUAAUUGUGACAACAUAGUGCUAAUAGAGGCCUCAUCUAUCAGAGUAACUAUGACAAAAAAGCUUCAUUUGGAUGCUAAUCCAUGGCUUACUUGAAUUUCAUUUAGGAUGAAAUAUUUCAUGCAUAUAGUAAACAAAUUGAAUAUAAGGAGAGCAGUAAGAAGUAUAAACACUCCUAAGAUAAUACAUAACAUAAAACAAGAAGUAUGACAUCUUGUACCGAUAAUACAUAGCAGGAAAGAGAACCUGACAAAAUGAAGCAUAAAAUCAACUAGUGAAACUUCUUCUAAAGUAGUCUUGACAAUAGAGGUCAUCUAUCAGAGUAACUAUGACAAAAACUUCAUUUGGAUGUUAAUCCAUGGCUUACUUAAAUUACUCAUCAUCUAGGAUUUGAAUUCCUUCAUGCACAGAACAAAGACUAGAAGUAUUGAUUUAUUGUUUAGUUAAUGAGGUCAAUCACUAGUGUGCCCAAAAAAAACCUAGAUAGGACGGAAAAAACCUCAAAAAUUAGUGGUAUCCACAAAACAAGCAAUAACUGCAAAAUUUGCAUAAACUAUAAAAUGAUCUUACUCCCAAUAUGAUUUAUAAAUACACUGUCUUGCUCACAAAAGAUUUAUGAUUUGGCUUGUAUUCUAACACUAACUGUGGUGCUCCUGCAUAAAUUGAUGCAGUUGUAUUACAUCAUGUUAAAAAAUGAACAAUCAAAUUACAGUUUAAACUACAACAGGUCAGGUUGACGAAAUUAUGAACUUUCACCUAUAAGAAAACUAAGCAUAUCCGCAACAAAGUAACUCAAAAAUAUAUGUUAGUACUCAAAUGCCUAGAUUUCUAGACAAAGGAAUACAUAUCUGGGCACAGGCUUUGUAAUUACUAUACAGAGUUCAAAAACAAGGGAUGACAUUAAGGCACACUUAUCUCAGAGAAAGUGCUUCCCUAUUCAUUAUAAUUGAAAAAUAGGGUAGUUUUAAAUAUAAAAAAGGAACAUAUUUAUCAAAACAAAGAAACUCAAAAAUAGACGUUGACAUUCAUAGAGUUCUAGUCAAAAGAAAACAUUUUUAGGCACACUCGUAUGGAAAAAGCACCUCUAGGAACUCGGUAAGCUUAUACUGGGCAUGCUGUUUUUGUUGUUGGAAUAGGCUAUUCGCCUUCUCUCAGGAAAAAACCAAACUUAAAAAAAACAUUAUGGCUACAAGCAUCAGUUAGCCAACUUAUGAGACAGAAAAGGAAGACCAAAAAUGGAGCUUUCUCCUCCACUUCUCACGGACCCAUCUGCACACCAAGAUAGAGUCUUUUCUAGCUCAAUGAGAAUAUAUGUCUGUUUCAUCUUCCAAAGAAGACAAAAAACUUCAAUUCUUCAUUGAAGAUUAUUUGAAACGUAGGAAAUAGCAAACAAAAGAAACAGAGGGAGUAACAAACAAAAGGGUGUUUUUUGUAAUCAUUUGAGUGAUUAUGGGCAGCGGAGAAUGACAGAGAGCGGCAAAACCACCCAUUGGAACUCCCUAAAGCUCUCUGCUUUCACACAGCCUCAGACUUAAACUAAUAAGAUUAGGCUCAGAUUCGCCUUUUCUCAGACAACCAAAAAGCUUUAAAAAAAAAACCGUCAUUGCUGCAAUCAUCAGUUAGCCUUAUGAGACAGAAAAGAAUACUUUCUCCUCCACUUCUCACAGACCCAUCUGAGCUGCCACGCCAAGAUACAGUUUUUUUCCAGCUCAAUGGAAAAUGUGUCUGAUUCAUCUUCCGAAGAAGACAAAUUCUUUCAAAUCUUCAUAGCCUGAUAAAUUGGGACUGAGAGAGUAACAGCAAUUAGGAACAGAGGAAAGUCUAGUGAAAUUUCACCAAAAGGGUGGUUUUGUGCAAUAAUUUUGAGUGAUCAUCGGUGGCGGAGAAUAACAAGAGAGUGGCAAAACCACCCAUUGAAACUCCCUAAAGCUCUCACCGCCGCCUCAUACUUAAACUAAUGAGAUUUGUGCUAUUUUCAUGUUAAUGCUGCUCUUCUUAUACUGUGCCCUAAUUAAUUGGGCCUUACUUGAAAAGCCCAUCUCGUCGGGUCGAAUUCAAUUGCGCAUAAAUGGGGGAAGAAGAUUAGGGGUUGUAGCCGCUGAUUAUACUCACCAGCAACGACAACACUGAAUUUUCCGGCGGAAACAUAAAAAGAAAAGAUCAUAUUUGUGCAAAUUUCUGUAUGAAAAAAGAACAGUUCCAAAAUAGGAGCAUUGAUGCAAAAUUUCCAGAAGAAAGGGUUGUUUGGAAUUGUUAUUGGAAAAUCAUAGGAUAAUAAUACAGAGAGAAGCAAUCAGCAAACCACCCUUCAAUGAAAGAGCUUCUCUUGCUUUCUUCAAUUCUCAAAAAGAGCUGGUUUUCGAUUGAUCCUCCAUUCAAGUCAAUACGAUAAAAUAUAGGAAAGAAAAGAUAUUUUUGACAAGAUAUACUCAUGAUUUGUCAAACAUUACAUUGUACUGUAUUAUUAUUUUGAUGAAUACAAUAUUAAAAUUAGAAUGCAAUGCACCAACAAUACAAAGAAUAAACUUAUAAUCCUCAAAAAAGAUAACAGGUAGAGUAAUUACAACAAAUGGUAGGUAAAGGGGAUAUUACACGUCAAAGCUCAAGAAAGUACGCUUGUAGGUUAUUGACCUGAGCCCAAAGUAGCUGUUACAAGUCAAAAACUAUGAACUUGGAAAACAAUAAAAAAAAAAAAAAAUCUGCUCUUAAGUCCGAGAUACUGUCGACCUGAGCCCAAAGUAGGAAAAUAACAGACUAGAGCAACGAGUUCAUUAGCCAUACAUAGUUAAGGAGGAGACAUUCCUCAUGCUGCGGUUCGAAAAGGUUUCCCCAAGCAGGUCACUGGGAGCUAAGACAGGUCAAUGCUAGACUGCUUGUCCAACUCAAGACAGAUAAGGGCAGACAGCAAAAUGCGGCAUCCAUUGGCAGAAGAGAUGUGAAAAAUCACUGUAAUUCAGAACAAAACUAAAAACAUAUGAGCAAUAUUUAUAACCAGACAGAAUAUGUAAAUGAGAAAUAGCAAUUCUUUUUGCCAUCUUGAAAAAAAGGGAAAAAUACGAUAGAAGGAAAUUGGGAAUUACUAGUACUUAAUAUAAGUCUCAGAUCAUCAGUUUAUCACAAAUGCCAUGGCUGCAACCUAGAGCAGGUUUCCCUGCCAAGUUACUGAGUCUUAUCAUCUCAAUGCAAACAAAUAUUGCUAUUUGUCAAAAACCAUAUCAUCACAGCCUCGGUUUUUCACUUUUCUUAUUGGAGCGUGAUUCUCGCUGUUUAUGUGUUAAUGCAGCCACAAAGUGGCAAGGCGAGAACCAAUAGCAGCAACAAAUCAACAAUAAUGUGCAUCUUCUGAAUCUAGAGUUGCAAGAAAGAGCUAGCACUGUUAGUUUGCCAGCAAGAUUUCACAUUUCUCAUUGAUGAUGUCUCAUUUCUGAGCAGGCUUUCAAAAGAAAGAUUUUUCCGUCAAACAAUGUCCAGAAGGACUACUUGCAAUUUUGAGGUUCAGAGUUGGUUACUAAUGGGGCAAAGAGAAGGAGAUUGUGCCAUGACAUCAAAAGAACCAGUUGCAUGUGAUAGAUAAGUCUCAAAUCACAUACCAUCAGAGGUUUACCAAGCAUAGAUACAAAUCUACUCGUCUCUAAAACCCAAACAACCUUUUUUUUUUCUAGCCCAGACAAGCAAAUACAAUCACUGCCUCUUUGAGAAAAUGAUAGCAUAUGUUUCAAGGAAUUUAGGGAGCUGCUUUGGACUGAGCUCAUAAAUCAGAAUGAGGUCAAGUACUGCUGGUGCAGUUAAUGCGCUGUUUUAUUUGGUAAUGAAGAAAUGAUGCAAAGGCUUCUGAAACUGGAGGAUCAGAUUAUAUGGUGGCAUUGGGUUCUUUGCACCAGCCAUGGCUGGAAAUCGCAAAAUUUCAGGUUGUCCCGCCAGGACACCAGUCAAAACACUCCAAUGUCCAAUACAAUGAGCUCGGCAAACAUUAUCAUCAUAGCCUCAUUGGUUACCCUUUCCGACUUUAUGAGCGCCCAACCUUUGUUUGCAUUGCAUUGAAACACAUCCAGUGAGGACAAAACUAAGACAACCAAAAUAUUAUAGACAAUACUCGUUAAAAAGGUAAGAGUUUUCUCUUUGUUUAAAAUAAUUUUUUUUUUUGGGGGGGCGGGGGCGGGGGUUGAUUAUGAGAAAUUCGAACAACCAAAAGAGAAACUUUUGAAAUAUAAGCUAAACAUAUGCAAAAGGACUAAAAUUGUCCAAACAAAGGAGAGAUAGAGUAUGUAGCCAAGCUAGAAUCAGCUGGUGAGAACCACAUAGUAGUUUUGGGAGGACACCAAGCCAAUAGGCCCUUUCAACAAGAAAACCAUGCUUAUAGGCAAAAUUUUGGGAGGAAAAAUGCUUCAGUAAAUCCAAGAAUCAGCAACAAGCAAGUUUAGCAAAACAUCUAGGAAAAUACAUAGCAGCAGCAAGAAGCUGAUUAAAUAAAGCAUAAAAUACACAUAGUAAAACAAUUUUUUCAGACAAGUAGUGGUGAUAACAUAGAGCCAAUAGAAGUCUCAUCAAUCAGAGUAACAAUGAAAAAAAGCUUCAUUUGAAUGUUAAUUCAUGGUUUACUUGAAUUACUUAUCAUUUAGGAUGAAUUCCUUCAUGCUGAAGGAGAACAGUAAGAACUAUUGAAGACUCCAAAGAUAUUACAUAUCAUAAACGAGAAGAAUGAGGCUCAGAUCUCUCUAUAAUCAGGUACUUACAUUUCUCAGAAAUGCUAUGGCUGCAACCUAGAGCAGGUUGUCCUGCCAAGUUACUGAGUCUUGUAUCAUAUCAACAAUGCAAACCAAUAUUGCUAUUUGUCAAAAACCAUAUCAUUACUGCCUCAAUUUUUCACAUUUUCUUUAUUUUGAGCAUGAUUAUCACUGUUUAUGUGUUAAUGCAGCCACACAGCAGCAAGGCAAGAACCAAUAGCAGUAAAAGAUAAUUAAUUAUGUGCAUCUUCUCAAGCUAGAGUUACAAGAAAGAGCUAGCCACUGUUACUUUCUUCCAGCAAGAUUUCACAUCUUGGCCUUACCAGCAAAACGGAAUGAAAAAAUAAAUUAUUCACAUUUCUCAUUUAUGGGCUAGCUGUCUAAGAAACGAUUUUUCCAUCAAACAAUGUCCAGAAGGACUACUUGCAAUUUUGACACUCUCAGCUGGCUACUAAUGAAUGGGUCAAAGAGAGAAGCAGACUACGCCAUGGCUGCAAAAGAACCAGUUGCAUGUGAUAGAGGAGUCUCAAAUCACACAUCAUCAUGGGGUUUUGCCAAGCCAAGAUACAGAUCUACUCAUCUAUAAACCCGAACAACCUUUUUUUAAGCCAAGAUAACCAAAUAUUAUCUGCCUCAUUGAUAACUGGUAGCAUAGGAUUCGAGGAAUUUGAAGCGCUUUGGACCUGAGCUCAUAAAUUAGAACGAGGUCCAACUACUACUACUGCUGCUGAUGUCAAUGCUCUCUUUUUUUUCUAAAGUGAAAGAAAGGAAAAGGACUAGAAGAGGGCAGUUGGUUUUGGUAAUGGAGAAAUGAUGCAAGAGGCUCAGAUUAUGUCAUGGGGCUUUGAGUUCUUUGUGCCCAGCCAUAGCUGCAAAUUUCCAGAAAUUCAGAUUGCCCCGCCAAGACACCAGCUACAGAACUCUAAUGCCCGACUCAAUGAGCUCAGCAAAACUAUCAUCAUAGCCUCAUUGUUUCCUCUUGCUGACAUUAUGAACGUGUAACUCUGUUUGCAUUGCAUUGAAACACAGCCAGUGAGGACGAAACUAGGACAACCGAAACAUAUGCACAAUGCAUUAUAGACACAAGAAAUAUGCAUAGGCAUAAACAGCAGUCUAGUUUAAAUUUAAAGCAAAAAUAAGUCACCAGAAUGUCGGAGAUGGUCAUCCACACGGAGAAGUUCAACACAGAGAAAUCACCAGAACGUCCGAGAUGGUCAUCCACACAGAGAAUCAUGUGAUUCUCUCACAGUUUUUUUUAUUUUUAUUUUUAUUUUCUUGUAUAUUUCGAAGGGCUGUUGGUCCUUUUGGUUAUCAAUGGAGAAAUCAUGGGCAGAGUAGAGAGGGACAACCACCCUUUACAGAAAAUCCCAAUCUCUUUGAUGCCUCAUUCUUCUUUCUUUCUAGGUUAUGCUCAGCUGAUACCGAACAAAUAAGAUUAUACAUUAUGACAGCAAGAUGAUUUAUAGCUUGUAGUAGAAAAUCGCAGGUUCAACAUAUCUCAAAAUUGAACCAUGGAAAGAUUCUUUCUCUCUCUUUCUUUUCAAGCAAAUGGGGCUCAGAUGUAUGUUAUGAUAAGGCAAAACAGAAACAAACACCGUUUGCAUGCAAGAGACAGAAGCAGCAAUCACAAGCCAUACCGGGUCACCACACCAAGAUACGGAUUGGAUAAUCUCAAUGCCCAAAUUAGUUAGCCCAGAAAUAGAAACAUCAUCAUCACUGUUUCUUUAUGUACAUUUCAUCAACAGUCAACACCGUAAAACACACACACAGAAAGACAGAGAUCUCAGAGUAUACAUGUUAAAUCCAUUUUGGUUUUUCCAGUUUUUGCUUUUUCUUAAACAAGGGCUGUUGGUUGUUUUAUAAUGGAGAAAAAUCAGUGGCGCAACAGAGAGGGUAAACCACCCUUUACAGAAAAUCCCACUCUCUGUUUUGCCUCAUUUCAGGGCUAACCUUUUCGCAUUUGGGGUAAAUUCUUUGGCUUGACAGCUAAAUCAUCGGCAUAUCUGAGAAGGUCAAACAGCCCAGAAAUCCCCCAAAAUAAGCGGGAACUCACCACCCUCUCUACCUUCACAAGGUAGGGGUAAAGUUGCGUACACACCACCCUCCUUAGACCCCAAUUAUGGGAUUACACUGGGUAUGUUGUUGAUGUGGGUUCCAGCUAAUUUCUUUUUUUUUUCCCACUACUUGCAUCAAAUUAUUUUACAAAGUCUAAAAGUUAACUUUUGAAAAACUUCAAGGACCAAAAUUGUUAAGUGCAUAUUUAAGGGACUAUUUUGGACAUACCCUCAAACAUAAGAGAUUUGUCAUUUUCUCCCUCAUUCUGAAUUCAGAGCUGAAAUUUCAACACAAAACCGCAAUAGGUUUUCCAACCCGGGAAUAGACUCACCAUGGAAGAUCAUUAAAUGGGUUAUUGAAGGCUCAGAUUUGUUGUAUUUCUUAACAAAGAAAAGAGAAGAACGCCGCAGCCAUGGAUGCAGACACCAGUUUGCUAUUCAAAGCCGUAACCGGGUCGCCCAGCUAAGAUACAGGUUUUUCUCAAUGCUAUAAUUGAACAUAGCCCAGAAAGGAAAGUAAGCAAUCAUCAUAGCCCCCUUUACAACAUCAGCAACAGCAACAUAAAGAGACAGAGGAAGAACAAGAAGAGUAUAGAGGUGUGUUUGGAUGACAUUUCUUCAUUUUUUCCCUUUUGUUUAUUUAAAAAGGGCUGUUAAUUUUUGUGGUUAUCAAUGGAAAAAUCACUGGCAAAGCAGAGACGGGCAACCACCCUUUUACAGAAAAUCCCAAUUUCUCUGAUGCCUCAUUCUUCAAAGCUGAAAUUUCAUUUGAGGGCUCAGAUUUGCUAUAUUUGAACAAAGCAAAAGAGAAAAGCGAUGCCGCCAGGGAUGCAGACACCAGUUUGCUAUUCAAAGCUGUAACUGGGUCACCCUGCCAAGAUACAGGAUUUUCUCAAUGCUAUAAUUGAACAUAGCCCAGAAAGGAAAGCAAGCUAUCAUCACAGCCCCUUUACAACAUCAGUAGCAGCAGCAGCACAAAGAGACAGAGGAAGAGCAAGAAGAGUAUAGGGGUGUGUUUGGAGGAAGUAUGUGGAGGAAGCUGAAUUUGGGUGUGUGAGAAAGGACGCAACAGUGUCAUCACUCCUAUAGCUGUGUAUUGCACAGUGCAAACCAUCCCUGUGUUGAAAGACACUCGCCCUUUAGCUUCUGGGAGAAAGACCGCUUGAAGUUUUCUCCUUGGAAACAGAGUAAAAUUCUCAUAAUCGUCAUCUUUAUCAGCAGACAGCAUAAGCAAAGGAACUUGGGGAGAUGAGGCAUCAAAACUUUCUUUAGUAACAGCACUUUGCCAUGAUUUAUACAAAUAGCACCAAAUACAACGAAAUCCUCCGUAACUGUUAAAACCUUUACUAUUGUAACAAGUAGAUCGUAUUUUAGUUCUGACCAAUUCACCAUACCUUCCAUGGUCAAAAGGGGAAAAGAAAACAGCAAAGGAUUUAGCCAUUAUAGAACAAUUAUAAUGAAUUGAGGGACAAGAAUCUGGGAUCCAAAAAUGGCAAGUUUUCUAUAUAUGUCACCCCGAGUUUUGAGUUGAAUUUGGACUUAGAUUCACUAACAGAACCAUCUCUUGCUGCCCUAAACUGGCAACUGGGCUACCAAGAACCAUAUCAUAACUGCCUCAAUUUUCUAGUAUGAUUCUCUCUGUUGGUGUUCACACAGCCAUGCAGCAGCAAGACAAGAGAACCAUCAGUAGCAGAACUGACCGAAUGAACAAAUAAAUAAAUAAAUAAACAAUUCCAAUUUCUCAUUGAUGCCUCAUUUAUGAGCUGGCUUUCAAAAUAAGUGAAAACGGGUUUUCACCAAACAAUGUCCACAACUACUUGCAAUUUGAGGCUCAGAUCUGGGCUAUUAAUGGGGAAAGAGAAAGAGACCACGCCAUGGCUGCAAAUAUCACAUAGCAACAGCGGUUCACCAAGCCAAGAUACGGGUCUGAUUGUCUUUAUCCUGAAGCCAGAUGAGCAAAUAUCAUACUGCCACUUUGAGAAAAUGGCUGCAUAAUUUUCAAGAAAUUAGGAUACUUUGGAUUAAGCCUUAUUAACCAGAUUGAGGUCCAAGUAUUACUACUACUAGCACUGUUAAUGCUUUGCUUUAAACUGAAGGCUCAGAUGUGUAUCUGGGGAAUUGAGUUUUCUGGCACCUGCAAUGGCUGCAACUCACAGAUAUUCAAGUUACCAUGCCAAGAUACAGGCAACAAAAAUCUAAUGCACUAUUAUAUUUAGCUCAGCAGAGUGCAGACGUCAUCAUCACAGCCCAAUUGUUUCCCUUUCCGAGUCCAUUGCUUUGGAACACAGCCAGUGAGGACAAAGCUAAGAUGCUUGAAUUAAUAAGCACAAAUCCACAUGUACACGUACAGAAAUAUACAUAAAAAAGGGUUGUCUGGUUUAGAGCAUAAAGAAAAUCAUUGGCAUGUUGAAGAUGGUAAUUCCCAUUGAGAAUCACUUCCCCAACGCCUCAAUCUGAGUUGAAACGGUUGUGUUGUGGUGGUGUAGUUGGUUAUCACGUCUAACACAUAAAACUGAAGAAUACCAAUUCCAGAGUAACUUUCCAUUGAAGACUAUCAACGGUCGCAUAAAGAGGGUGUUAUUGAUCUCUCUCCGUCAAAGAAGGUCUCGUGUUCGAUUCCCAGCCCCAGGUUGUUAGGAAGGAAUUUGGAAAAUGAGGCUCAGAUCUCAAUUUUCUAUUGGGUUAAAGAGAAGGCGACCAUGCCAUGGAUGCAAAAUAACCGAUUGCAUGUGAAAGAGAAGCCUCAAAUCACAGCCCUUGCUGGUGUUUGCCAAGCCUGAUACAGGUCAGGAUGUCUCUAUGCCCAAAUGGAAAUGAGGACGGAAUUUAAAGUGGCCUCAAAAAAGACCAUGUUUGUAAAUGCCGAUAAACAAUUAUCAUCACGGCCUCUUUCAGAAAAUGUUUACUCUUCCAUAGAUUUCAAGAAAUUGUAAAAAUUUUGGACUAAAGAAUCCAAUAACGCCUGACGGCGAAGGCGCCAGAUAUUUGCUUUCUUGGGUUUCUUCGAGCAAAGGAAGAAUAAGAGGGUUGUUAGUUUUGUUAAUUGAGAAAUCAUAGGCCAAACAGAGGGAACACCGCCCUCCUAGAAGUCCCUCUUACCCCUGUUGGCCUCAUUUUCCUUCUGGGCUCAAUCUCCAUUGUUACUUUUGUCGAGGAAAAAGCUUGUAGCUAUACAAUGUACUAAUAUCUAGAUUCUCUUUUAGCCCGUCUGGCAGAAAUGUACCAUGCUAUUGUUUUGUGGCUAUUUCGCUCGGAUUCUUCAAAAACAUCGAAGUGUGCGUGUCGGAUACUCCAAAAAUAGUGUAUUUUUGGAGAAUCCAACAUGAGUGCGGCGACAUUUUUGGAGAGUCCGAGCAACAUAAGUUUGUGGUGACAUGCAACAAUUGAGAUGAUUUUUUAUACUUCUCAGGUAAUAAAAUAUGAUGGAUAUCUUUUACUUUAAUAUAUAAAGAUAAGUUGUAUAUAUAAACCUCACUUACAGUGAAUUUCUGCAAUUACACUUGCCGGUCACCAAAUAGCCACGUGGAAACCUACAGUAGAAUUAAGCACGAACUAUAUGAUACAAGCUGCAAUUACUGCUGUAAAUAUUUUUAACGAAAGAUCUAUUAGAUAAAUUAAAUAUUUUGACAACACAUUUGUAAUGAAACUUUGAGCAAUGACAUGAUUGAACAUAGACCAGAAAGGAAGCAAGCAAUCAUCACAACCCCUUUACAACAUCAUCAGCAACAGCAGCACAAAGAGACAGUGAAAGAGUAAAGGGUGUCUUUGGAUGAAGCUCGCAAUUUGUUUUUCUUUUUUCUUUCUUGUUUAUUUUAAAGGGCUAGUGGUUUUUUUGGUAAUCAAUGGUGAAAUCACUGGCAAAGCAGAGAUGGGCAACCAUCCUUUACAGAAAAUCCAAGUUUCUCCGACGGCUCAUUAUUCAGCGCAAACCCGUAACGGGUUCUCCGACCCGAAUGCGUUAUUGAAGGCUCAGAUUUGCUGAAUUCGAACAAAGCAAAAGAGAAGAGCGCCACCGCCAUGGCUGCAGACACCAGUUUGCUAUUCAAAACCGAACUGGAUCGCCCUGCCAAGAUACGGGUCAGAUCUUCUCUAAAUGCCAUGAUUGAACAUAGCCCAGAAAGGAAGCAAGCAAUCAUCACAGCCAUUUACAGCAAUAGUAACAGCAGCAGCACAAUGAGACAGAGGAAGAGCAAGAAGAAUAUAGAGGGGGUGUUUGGAAUUUGGAUGAAGUUUUUUCAAUUUGCUUUCUUUUUGUUUAUUUGAAAGGGUUGUUGGGUUUUUUGGUCCAUUAAUGGAGAAGUCACUGGCACAGCAGAGAUGGGCAACCACCCUUCACAGAAAAUCCCAAUUUCUCCAACGCCUCAUUCUUCAGAGCUGAAAUUUCAAAGCAAACCAAAAAUGGAUUUUCCUACCCGAAUGGGUUAUUGAGGGCUCAGAUUUGCUGUAUUUGAACAAAGCAAAAGAGAAGAGCGACACCACCAUGGCUGCAGACACCAGUUUUCUAUUCAAAGCCCUAACCAGGUUGCCCUGCCAAGAUACGGGUCGGAUAUUUUCUCAAUUGCCAUGGUUGAACAUAGCCCAGAAACUAAGCAAUCAAUCAUCAUAGCCCCUUCUAAACAUUAGCAACACAAAGAGAGGAGAAAGAGGAAGAGGAGUAUAGGACUAUAGGGGUGUGUUCGGUAUGAAGUUUUUAUUGUUGUUGUUGUUUAUUUCAAAGGGCUGUUGGUUUUUUUGGUCCAUUAAUGGAGAAAUCACUGGCAACGCAGAGAUGGGCAACCACCCUUUACAGAAAUCCCAUUCUCCGACGCCUCAUUCUUCUGAGCAGAAAUUUCAUUGGAAAUCCGUAAUGGAUUUUCCUACCCGAAUGGGUUAUUGAGGGGUAAGGCUGCAUAGACACCAUCUUCCCCGACCCCACUUCCGGAUAUGUUGUUGUAGUAAUGGGUUAUUGAGGGCUCAGAUUUGCUGUAUUUGAACAAGAGAAGAGUGACAACGCCAUGGCUGCAGACACCAGUUUGCUCUUCAAAGCCAUAACCAGGUCACCCUGCCAAGAUACGGGUCAGAUAUUUUCUCAAUUGCUAUGAUUGAACAUAACCCAGAAAGGAAGCAAUCAAUCAUCAUUGCCCCUUUACAACAUUAGCAGCACAAAGAGAGGAGAAAGAGGAAGAGCAAGAAGAGUAUAGGGGUGUGUUUGGUAUGAAGGUUUUUUGUUUUUUCUUGUAUAUUUCGAAGGGCUGUUGGUUUUUAUGGUCCAUUAACGGAGAAAUCACUGGCAUAGCAGAGAGGGGCAACCACCCUUUCAGAAAGUCCCAAUUUCUCUGAUGCCUCAUUCUUCUUCCUUUCUAGGCUAUGCUCAACUUGUAGCUUUUGUUUGCCAAGAACAAUAUCAUCACUGCCUCAAUUUCACCUUUUUCUAGUAUGAUUCUCGCUGUUUAGGUGUUCAUGCAGCCAUGCAGCAGCAAAAAAUCGUGGGCUUACUAGCAAAACUGAAUGAAUGAAUAAUAAAUAAAUAGUUUGCGUUUCUCAUGAUGCCUCAUUGAGCUGGCUUUCAAAAUAAGUGAAAUGGAUUUCGUUUCCACCAAACAAAUGUCCAGGACUACUUGCAAAUUUGAGGCUCAGAUCUGACCUAUCAAUGGGGAACAGAGAAAGAGACCACGCUGCAGCUGCAAAAGUACCGGUUGCAUGUGAAAGAGAAGCCUUAAAUCACAUAGCAACUGGGGUUUGCCAAGGCAAGAUACGGGUCUGAUUGUCUUUAUUCCCAAAGCCCAGAUAAGCAAAUAUUAUCACUGCCACUUUGAGAAAAUGGUUGCAUAAUUUUCAAGAUAUUAGGAUACUUAGAAAUUAGAAUUAAGCUCAUAAAUCAGACUGAGGGUCCAAGUACUACUAUUACUAUGUUAAUGCUUUGCUCUCAACUGGAGGCUCAGAUUUGUAUCUGGAGCACUGAAAUUUCUGGAAACCUGUCAUGCCUGCAAACAAAUCACAGAAAUUCAAGUUGUCAUGCCAAGAUACGGUUACAAAAAUCUAAUGCCUGUUGUUAAUUAGCUCAGCCCUGUUAUUUCCCCUUUUUGAGUUCAUUGCUUUGGAACAGCCAGUUCAGACAAAUUACGACAACUGAAACAUACAAAUCUAAAUAUACUUAUAUGCAGAAACAUUACAAAAAAGGUUGCCUGGUUUAGAGUAAAAAGAAAGCACCUGCAUGUCGAAGAUGGUCAUCCACUCUGAGAAUCAUCUGAUCCCCCAAAGCCUCAUCCAUUGAGCAGAAACGACGUGGUGGUAGUUGGUUAUCACGUCAGUCUAACACAUAAAACUGAAGAAUCCCAAAUCCAGAGAGCAACCUUCCAUUGAAGACUAAUCAAUGGUUGCAUUAAAGGGAUGUUGUUAUCUCCUGUGAAAAGAAUUCCACAGACUUGCAACAUCAAGAGAAGGGAAAAUCCAACUUCUCUUUGAAACAAGGCAAAAUGAGUUUCCAUUAAAGAAGGUUGCGUGUUCGAUUCCCCAGCAGGUCGUCAAAAAGAAAUUUAGAAAAUGAGGCUCAGAUCUCAGUUUCUCAGUUUCUGAUGGGGCAACCAAGCCAUGGCUGCAAUAGAACCAAUUGCAUGUGAAGAGAAACCUCAAAUCACAGACCAUUCCGGUGUUUGCCAAGCCAAGAUACGGGCGGGAUGCCCCAAUGCUCGGAUGGAAAUGAGGACAAAUUUAAAUAGCGACCUUAGAAAAGGUCGCAAAUGGCCCCAUGAACAAGUAUCAUCACUGCCUCUUUCAGGAAAUGGCAUAAAUGAGCCUUUUCUCAAAGCUCGGUGGCAUAUUUGAGCCUUUUCCUAUUAAAAAAAUGAUUUAAUAAAUGACAUGGCUGAAUCAUAAUUGACCACAUGUAAUAAAUGGUUUUGCAAAACCGAAACUUUUUUCAAUUAACAAAUAAUGGCAUGGAUGAGCCUUUUCUCAAACGGAAAUGGUAUAGAUGAGCCAAACUUUUAAUGGAUGGCAUAAAUGAGCCUUUUCUCAAAGUUCAAUGGCAUAUUUGAUCCUUCUCCCUUUUUUAAAAAGAGAAAGCUACCACGCCAUGGCUGCAAAAUCACCGGUUGCAUGCAAAAAAGAGAGCCUCAAUUGCAUGCCAUCCUGGGAUUUGCCAGGCCAGGAUAUGGAUUGGAUCAUCUUCAGAGCCCGAAUUUGUUAACCCAUAGAGUGACAUUAUAAUCAUCAUUGAGAUAUAUGUCACCUGAAAAAUUCACAACUUUUCUCCUCAUAGAAUACAAUGGUAACUAAUUGUUGAUUUCAUCAUGAAAAAUAUUUCUACCAUACCAAAGACACAUUAAGAGUAAAACUUAGGCUUGGAUCUGUCGAUAAGACAAGAGAAUGAAGACAACCUCAUGGCUGCAAACACCGGUUGCAUGACACAAAAUCACAAGUUUUCCGGAUUGCCUCACCAAGAUUCGAUCACUCUAUUUUCUUUGCCCUAUUGAGUUGCUCAAAAAAAGAAACGAAAAAAAUUAUCAACAUAGCCUUCAAUACUCAACAAUCCCUAAUAAUAGUUUCCCAAUUGAUAGAGAAAGUGAAGCUCAGAUCUGUGUUAAGCUCGGACAACAAGAGAAUCCAACAACAUCAUGGCUGCAACAACCACCAGAAAGUCUGGGAGCAUGCCCCGCAAAGAUACGGGCCAGAUGGUCUCAAAUACCUGAUUAUUCAGCUCAGAAGGAAAUUAAAAAUUGACAAAAUCAUCACUGCCUCUUUCAAGCCACCGGUUAUACUCAACCACACAGCUUCCAACACCAGCACUCAAUGCUCCGGCAGAAGCAUUAGAGAAAAGAGAUGGCAUAGCAUGAAAGGGUAUAGAAACCAUUUGUAAUGAUAUGUAAACAACCAUCCAAACAAACUGUUAAUAUUACUCCCUUCAUUAAAAUUGAUAAAAGGGUUGUUGGGGACCUGGGGUUCUUACAGUAAUGGAGAAAUCAUUGUCUGAUGCAGAGAGAGGCAACCACCCUUUCAACGAAAAAUCCCUAAACUCUCUGUAGCCUCGUUCUUUCGCUUUGGAGCUUUUGUUUUGUUCAUUUAACUAAACCGAUGGAGAAAGUGAGGCUCAGAUCUUUGAUAAGCUCGGGCAACAAGAGAGUCCAACAACGCCAUGGCUGCAAAAACCAGCAGAAAAUCUGGGAGCAUGCCUGCCAAGAUACGGGUAGGAUAACCUCAAAUGCCCUAUUAUCAGCUCAGAAGGGAAUAAAAAUCUGACAAAAGUCAUCAUUGCCUCUUUAAAGCCACCGAUUAUACUCACCAGCAUCAGUUCCACCAGCAACAUCCAAUGCACCGGCGGAAGCAUUGAAAAAAGAAGAAAAAAAAAGAGUUGAAGGGCAUAGAAACCCUUUGAAACUAUAUGUAACAACAAUCCAAACGAGCAUUUAAUUAAAUACUCCCUCCAUUUGAAAUUGAUAAAAGGGCCAUCACGCCCGAAAAAACAAUACACACAAACAUAGGUGAACGACCGUAUAUAUGACCUAAAUCCUCUCUGCUUCUGCUUUUUCGAGAGCUGUUGGUUGUUUGAAAAUGGAGGACAAUCAAUGGCGCAACAGAGAGGGGCAACCACCCUUCAAAGAAAAAUCCAAAUACUCUCUGUUUUGCCUCAUUUUUAUUUUUUCACCUUCGAGUUUCCCAUCUCUCCAAUGCCUCACUCUUCAGAGAUAAACCCGUAAUGGGUUUUUCCACCUGAGAAGACUCAACACCGAAAACCAUGAAAUGGGUUAUUGAGGGCUCAAAUUUGCUGUAUUUGAACAAAGCAAAAGAGAACAGCGACGACGUCAUGGCUGCAGACACCGGUUUGCUAUUCAAAGCUGUACUGAGUUGCCCUACCAAGAUACGGGUCAGAUAUUCUCUAGAUGCCAUGAUUGAACAUAGCCUAGAAAGGAAGGAAGCAAUCAUCACAGCCCCUUUACAACAUCAGCAGCACAAAGAGACAGAGGACGAGCAAGAAGAGUAUAGGGGUUUGUUCGAAUGAGGUUUUUUCAAUUGUUUUCUUCUUCUUUUUCUUUUUGUUUAUUUCAAAGGGCUGUUGGUUUUUUUGGUUAUCAAUGACGAAAGCACUGGCAAAGCAGAGAUGGGCAACCACCCUUACACAAAAUCCCAAUUUCUCUGAUGCCUCAUUCUUCAGAGCUGAAAUUUCAGAGCAAACCCGUAAUAGGUUUUUCGUCCCAAAUGGGUUAUUGAAGGCUUAGAUUUGUUGUAUUUGAAUAAAGCAAAAGAGAAGAUCGACGCUGCCAUGGCUGCAGACAUCAGUUUGCUAUUCAAAACCGUAACAUGGUCGCCCUGCCAAGAUACGGGUCGGAGAUUUUCUCAAUUGCCAUGAUUGAACAUAGCCUAGAAAGGUGGAAAGCAUAUGCCAGCCACCCCCAUCCAAAUGAUUUUAAAUAAAUACUCUCUCCGGCUAGAAAGGUGGAAAGCAUAUGCCAGCCACCCCCAUCCAAAUGAUAGAAAAUAAAUACUCUCUCCGGUUCAACUUGUUUGUCUUCCCUUUUUGGUUUGUUCCAAAAAGAAUGUCUCUUUACUUUUUUGGCAACACUUAAUUCUAACUUUCCACAUGACAUCUUUAAAACCACAAUAUUAAAGGGCACCUUAAGUUUAAGAUAUCCGGGUUUCCCCGCUAAGAUACGGAUCCAAUUGCUCUCCCGCACUAUUGAUUUUCUCAAAGAAAGAAGAAAAUCGACAUCACAGCCUCAGAAUUUUCGCAACAAUUAUUAUUAUUAUAACUGGGUGUGAGAAUUUGGAGAGAACAAGCAAAGACUUAAGGGUCAUUUGGUCGCUGUUUAGCUGCAACAAGAGCUGUUGAAUUUUUCUUUUUUCACAGCAACACUGAAAUCACAGGUAUUGCAGAGAGGAGUGACAGCCCUUUGAACUUCCUCUCUGCUCUCUGCAACCCUCAUUCUUCGUCUCUGAACUUUUACUUUUCUAGGCUAAGCUUUUUACCUUUUAUGGGAAAUUCUCAUAUGUGUUUCGACCUGCGAAUUUCCCAACUGCAACAACAACAACCCAGUAUAAUUUGACCUCCACCUUGUGGAGGUCAAGAAGCGAUUUUCAAUAGACCCUAAGCAAAUCAAACAUUGAGGCUCAGAUUUGUAAUACUGACGAUCCGGCAAGAUACACUGGAAUCAUCGCCAUGCCUGCAAGCACCGGUUGCAGGGUAACCUGUCAUCUGGAUUGCCACGCCAAGAUACAGGUACAAUCUCUUUCCUGCACUAUCGAUUUGCUCAGAGGAAGAAGAAAAUCAUCAUCAUAGCCUCGGAAUUUUCGCCAAUUAUUAUUAUUAUGACUACUAUUGAGUCUCACUUUGGGGUUGAGAGUUUCGAGAGAACAAGCAAAGAUUAAGGGGUCGUUUGGUAGUUGUUUAACUGAAAAGGGCUGUUGAAUUCAUGUUUUUUCAUAGCAAAAAUUGUAAUCACAGGUAUUGCAGAGCGGAGAAACAGCCCUUUGAAAUGUUCCCCUCUACUCUCUGCAACCCUCAUUCUUCGUCUCUAAGCUAAGCUUUUUUUCCUUGAACGGAGAAAUUCUCAUGAGUUCUUCGACCUGCGAAUUUCGCAGCUGAAACAACGACGACAACCCAGCAUAAUCUAACUCCUACUUUGUGGAGGUAACAAGAUUGUUUCCGAUACUCUAUCAGCAAAUGAAACAUUGAGGCUCAGAUUUGUUAUACUUACAACAUGGCAAGAGAGACUGGAAUCACCGCCAGGGCAGCAAGCACCGAUUGCAAGGUAACCUGAAAUCCAGGUUGCCCCCGCCAAGAUAUGGGUCCGAUUUCUUUCCUGCGCUAUCGAUUUGCUCAGGGAAAGAAGAAAAUCAUCAUCAUAGCCUCAGAAUUUUUGCAACAAUUAUUAUUAUUAUCAUUACUACUACUAUUGAUUCUCACUUUGGGGUUGAGAAUUUCGAGAGAACAAGCAAAGAUUUAGGGGUCAUUUGGUAGUUGUUCAACUGAAAAGGGCUGUUGAAUUUAUAUUUUUUCACAGCAAAAAUUGAAAUCACAGGUAUUGCAAAGAGGAGCAACAGCCCUUUGAAGUGUUCCCCUCUGCUCUCUGCAAUCCUCAUUAUUUGUCUCUGAGCUAAGCUUUUUUCCUUUAACGGACAAACUCGCAGACGCAACAACAAUAACAACAACAACAAAACCCAGUGUAAUCUCACUCCAAAGAUUGUUUCAGACACACUUUCAGCAAAUGAAACAAUGAGGCUCAGAUCUGUAGUACUUACAACACGGCAAGAGAGACUGGAAUCACCGCCAUGGCUGCAAGCACCAGUUCUGAUAUACUUCCAUCCGGGUUGCCUCGCCAAGAUACGGGUCCAAUUGCUCUCCCGCAUUGUCCAUUUGCUCAGAGAAAGAAGAAAAUCAUCAUCACAGCCUCAUAAUUUUCCCAUCAAUUAUUACUACUACUACUACUAUUGAUUAUCCCUUUGGAUUUGAGAAAUUGGAGAGAACAAGCAUAUUGCUGUUUAACAGCAAAAGGGCUAGUAAAGAUUCUUUUUUUCACAGCAAAAAUGAAAUCACAGGUAUUGCAGAGAGGAGCAACAUUCCCUUCAGAACUUUUUGCUUUGUUUCUCAACUCAAACAUUUUCCUACAUACGGAACACACCCUAAAUAUAACAAAAAAAAAAGCCAAGCUGAAUAGAGAAAAAUCGAGGCUCAGAUUUGUGUUAAGCUCGGGAAACAAGAGAGUCCAACAACGCCAUGGCUGCAAAAACCACCAGAAAAUCUGGGAGCAUGCCCCGCCAAGAUACAGUUUGGAUAACCUCAAAUGCCCAAUUAAUCAGAGCUCAGAAAGGAAUAAACAUUGGCAAAAAUCAUCAUUGCCUUUUUUAAGCCAUCCGAUUAUACUCAGCACCAUCGCUUCCACCAGCAACAAUCAAUGCUCCGGCAGAAGCAUUAGAGAAAAGAGAAUGCACUGUAUGGUCACAGCAUGGAAGUAUAGGUUAGAUUGAUAUGGUAUAUAUAUAUAUGUGUGUGUGUGUGUGUGUGUGUGUCUAAUUAGGUAGUUUUUCCUAAAAUUUAUAAAACGGUUGUU
rnacentral:lncRNA from 1 species